CCUCCUCCCUUCUCAUUCUCCUCUGCUGCCGACUUGAAUGAAAAGGAGAAGGAACAGAGAGAGCUUGAAAGGGCGAGAGGAAGACGAAUCAUCACGAACUGCCGGAGAAAGAAUCAGAGGUGUUUUCUUGCAUGCAAGUGUGCUUUUCUGAUUAAGGAUUUGAUAUUUGUUCAAGUCCAUUAAGAAGGGAGUCAAGGAAGAAGCAAGGGGAAGUUAGUACAGAAGAAAAAGCAAAAGUAAGAGCAAGUACUCCUAAGGGCAAGGGAGUAGUGAUCGGUGGAGUUUAAAGGUGCAAGAAGCUGGCGAUCAUUUGUACAUCCAUAUUUUGCUUAAAAUGCAUCUUAUUUUGGAGUAAAGAUAUAUAUAUUGUAUAUCUAUUUUGGUAUGUAAAUAUUCCUCCAUAAGGAGAUGACUAAGGGCAGAUAGAUCAUAAUGACUGCUAUUGAAGGAAAUGG